UUUUAUUUGAGAGUUUGAUCCUGGCUCAGGAUGAACGCUGGCGGCGUGCCUAACACAUGCAAGUUGAGCGAUUUACUUCGGUAAAGAGCGGCGGACGGGUGAGUAACGCGUGGGUAACCUACCCUGUACACACGGAUAACAUACCGAAAGGUAUGCUAAUACGGGAUAAUAUAUUUGAGAGGCAUCUCUUAAAUAUCAAAGGUGAGCCAGUACAGGAUGGACCCGCGUCUGAUUAGCUAGUUGGUAAGGUAACGGCUUACCAAG
rnacentral:rRNA from 1 species